rnacentral:rRNA from 1 species
UACAGAGGUCUCAAGCGUUGUUCGGAUUCAUUGGGCGUAAAGGGUGUGUAGGUGGCGCUGUAAGUCGGGUGUGAAAUUUCGGAGCUUAACUCCGAAACUGCAUUCGAUACUGCGGUGCUUGAGGACUGGAGAGGAGACUGGAAUUCAUGGUGUAGCAGUGAAAAUGCGUAGAGAUCAUGAGGAAGACCAGUGGCGAAGGCGGGUCUCUGGACAGUUCCUGACACUGAGACACGAAGGCCAGGGGAGCAAAACGGG